rnacentral:rRNA from 1 species
GACGAACGCUGGCGGCGUGCUUAACACAUGCAAGUCGAACGGAAAGGCCCUGCUUGCAGGGUACUCGCGUGGCGAACGGGUGAGUAACACGUGGGUGUUCUGCCCUCCACAUCGGGAUAAGCCUGGGAAACUGGGUCUCUUACCGGAUAGGAGCCCUCUUUCUUGUUAUGGUUGGAAAGUUUUUUCGGUGUGGGGUGGGCUUACGGCCUAACAGCUUGUUGGUGGGGUAAUGGCCUACCUAGGCGGCGACGGGUAGCCGGCCUGCGGGGGUGGACGGCCACAUUGGGGCUGAGAUACGGCCCAGACUCCGACGGGGGGCAGGAGUGGGGAAGUUUGGAAAAUGGGCGCAAGCCUGAUGCAGCGACGCCGCGGGGCGGAUGACGGGCUUCGGGUUGGAAACUCGUUUCGGUAGGGACGAAGCUUUGUGUGACGGUACCUAGAAAAGAAGCACCGGCUAACUACGUG